AAGGGAGGGAGGAGUAAUGGAGGGAAAGAGUUAAAGUUUGCCCAUAGAGUAAUUCAACCGAUGUUGAGAGACUGUCUACUACUCGCGCACUAUUUGCUUAUUACAAACUAAACUAGCUGGAUUUGAUGUAUCCUAUUUUUUUUAAUUCGACUCCUCGCAGAAGCAAAACUAUUUCAAGAAUUCCCAUGGCAUAGUGUAACGUAUACUUUUUUGGUAAGCAGCUGAAACCUUCAUGAAAUAAAGUCUAACAUCUGGAUACUGUGCGAGGAAGAUGACUCAUUCAUGCCAGAAAUCGUGUAAAUAUGUCUGAGGCAUAGUAGAGAGCAAUCUUAUUCUUUAAGAGCAAUCCUGAAUGAAGAUGAACGGCAGCGGAGGGUGUGUGGCGUUAUUUGUUCUUCUGUUGAUGGAUAUGGCUACAGUGCCAGAGCCCGGCCAACGUAACCUUAUCCCUGGGUAAGCCGCUACAGGUGCUCUGUACUCUCCAGGGAGAUGGGGGGUGGAGAGGAGCCUCCGGGUGUGGUGUGGUUGAGGGACAGUCAAUCCCUGGAUUACGCUGACACCAAUCAAGUGCAAGUGCCUGUCACUGAAGGAGAAUUGAUCAUGUGAAGCUGUCAGACAUUGGGAGAUAAUGUUGUAUGGCAACAGUUGGGAGGAAGGACUUGAUGUCUCAGGAGGGGCACAUUCAGCUGGAGGGAAUCCCACAUUUCUCAGUGAAGCCUCAUGACGUGACAGUGGUGGCUACUGUUAGCCUCAGCCUGCAGUGUUUGGCCCAUGGGCCUCCAGAACCAGUCAGGAUCAUCUGGCUGCAGAACGGAGGACCACUCAACACGAUACAGGACCCGGUGUCCCAUUCUCCCUCUACUCUCAAUAUCACAGGCAAAGACUGUCUUAUUUGUGUUUGGCCCAUGGGCCUCCAGAACCAUCAUCUGGCUGCAGAACGGAGGACCACUCAACACGAUACAGGACCCAGUGUCCCAUUCUCCCUCUACUCUCAAUAUCACAG